rnacentral:rRNA from 1 species
AGUGAACGCUGGCGGUAGGCCUAACACAUGCAAGUCGAACGGCAGCACAGUAAGAGCUUGCUCUUACGGGUGGCGAGUGGCGGACGUGUGAGGAAUACAUCGGAAUCUACUUUUUCGUGGGGGGUAACGUAGGGAAACUUACUCUAAUACCGCAUACGACCUACGGGUGAAAGCAGGGGAUCUUCGGACCUUGCGCGAUUGGAUGAGCCGAUGUCGGAUUAGCUAGUUGGGGGGGUAAAGGCCCACCAAGGCGACGAUCCGUAGCUGGUGUGAGAGGAGGGUCAGCCGCAUUGGAAGUGGGACACGGUCCAGACUCCUACGGGAGGGAGCAGUGGGGAAUAUGAGACAAUGGGCGCAAGCCUGAUCCAGCCAUCGCGCGUGGGUGAAGAAGGCCUUCGGGUUGUAAAGCCCUUUUGUUGGGAAAGAACAGCAGCAGGUUAAUACGCCGCUGUUCUGACGGUAACCAAAGAAGAAGCACCGGCUAACUUCGUG